GCGGCGGUGGCAGAAUAUCUCGCAAAAAAGUCCGAGACUCGGCAAUGGGAAUGCACACGAAUGCAUAAGUGGUACGACCUUGCUUGAAAAUGAUGCCAGCAUGGUUGUUGGAGGUUCGAAUCCUCUCCGCCGCC
rnacentral:tRNA from 1 species